rnacentral:rRNA from 1 species
AACGAACGCUGGCGGCGUGCCUAACACAUGCAAGUCGAGCGAGAAAGCCCGCAAGGGUGAGUACAGCGGCGCACGGGUGCGUAACACGUGGGUAAUCUGCCCUGAAGUCCGGAAUAACUCGCCGAAAGGCGUGCUAAUGCCGGAUGAGACCACGGGAGCUUCGGCUCCUGCGGGAAAAGGUGGCCUCUGUAUACAAGCUAUCACUUCAGGAUGAGCCCGCGGCCCAUCAGCUCGUUGGCGGGGUAAUGGCCCACCAAGGCUACGACGGGUAGCUGGUCUGAGAGGACGAUCAGCCACACUGGAACUGAGACACGGUCCAGACUCCUACGGGAGGCAGCAGUGGGGAAUCUUGCGCAACGGGCGAAAGCCUGACGCAGCAACGCCGCGUGUGUGAUGAAGGUCUUCGGAUCGUAAAGCACUGUCGCGAGGGACGAAUAAGGGGCGGGCUAACAUCCCGUUCCGAUGACGGUACCUCGAGAGGAAGCACCGGCUAACUCUGUGCCAGCAGCCGCGGUAAUACAGAGGGUGCAAGCGUUGUUCGGAAUUAUUGGGCGUAAAGCGCGUGUAGGCGGCUUUGUAAGUUGGGUGUGAAAGCCCUCGGCUUAACCGAGGAAGUGCGCCCAAAACUGCAUGGCUUGAGUACCGGAGAGGGUGGCGGAAUUCCCGGUGUAGAGGUGAAAUUCGUAGAUAUCGGGAGGAACACCAGCGGCGAAGGCGGCCACCUGGACGGAUACUGACGCUGAGACGCGAAAGCGUGGGGAGCAAACAGGAUUAGAUACCCUGGUAGUCCACGCUGUAAACGAUGAGCGCUAGGUGUUGUGGGUGUUGACCCCUGCAGUGCCGCAGCUAACGCAUUAAGCGCUCCGCCUGGGAAGUACGGCCGCAAGGCUA